ACCAGCCCACGUAGAUUGGUUUUCUGCUUCUUGGGGACAAGUAGACAAUAUAUAUCAAAAGCUGUGAAUUAUGCAUCUCCUUUACCCAGCAACUCUACUUUCAGUAAUUUGUACGAAGGAAAUAAUAAAGGAUAUGGAAGGAUCUUCAUUUCAGCCUAGUUUAUAACAUACAAAAACCUGAAAGCAAUCAAUCUAAGUACUCACCAAUUGAAGAGUGGAUGUAUAAAUUAGAUUCAAUGAAAUAUUAUACAUCCCUUAAAAAUUCUGUUGUAAAAAUGUUUCUUGAUAUGAAAAGAUGUUCAUGAUAUUGUUGUGUUAAAAGAAGCCACAAAUAAUGCAGAAUAAAGCAUUAAGUUAAAUGCAUAUUUGAUACGGUUAUGAAUUGUUUUCUUCUUUUUGUCUGUGUUUUAUGAUUUUCUUCAGAAUUUAUUAUAUUUAAAAAAAGAAAGAAAUGAAAACUGCCUACUGACUCUUUGUGAAAAGCAAGAAACUUUGUGACACUUCUUGUACUGAGAGGAAAAGCUGAAUGAAUGAAGAGGCAACAGGAAAAAUGGAGAGUUCCUGGAUUAGAAGAUUUGGGAAGAAAGGAGAGAGGAUCAGGGCAUGAGGAUAAGAUAAGUUGCUGUUACAAAAAGACCCCAAAGACACUGGGCUUUCGUUAGGGGUGAUGGCAUAAUUUGGGAAUGGGUAAGGCUGAUGGUUGAACAACAUGAUGAAGAUAAUUAAUGUCACUGAGCUGUACCUGUGAAGAUUGCUGAAAUGGCAAAUGUUUUAUCACAUAUAUAUUUACCACAAACACACACACUCACACAAAAGACCCCAAAUUCAGUGGUAUAAAUAACAAAAUAAUUUAUUUCUCUCUCAUCUUCAAGGUAAGCAUUCCUGGACAGGGGCUGGAGCUGCUUCACUUCCUGGCGGACCAGGUUCCUUCCAUCUCAAGGCUCCCCAUUCUCCAGUGCCUUGUCUGCAUGGCUGAGGCCGAGUCGCAGCCACAUCUGGGAAGAGAGUAUGGAGGAGGCUGCCACACUGUAAAGACAGCAGGCCAGAAGGGACCCAUGUUCCUAUACAUCCCAGUGUGGAACGACCUCUAUUUAGUCCCCAGAGAAGCUGAGAAACCAGAAGCCAACAUCCUGCUCCACUUACCUGAUUUUAUGGAAGUGCAGCCCACAGCCACAUGCAGCGUCGAGGUGAACUCUGAUGAAGACAGCAUGAUCCAGAGCACGGAUUUCAGAGCUCAAGUGCCACUCCACUGUUUACUCACUGGAUGACUUUAGAUUGCACCUGUGUGAGUGAGUGUCCAGUGGAUCCUGCUGGCCUCCCAUACAGUGGCUACAGAGAAUUCCCAAGACAAAAAAUGAGAGACACAUGGAGCAGCCAUCAAGUAUACCUGUGAAAAGCUGAUGAGGUAAAAGCUGGGUUCCGAGGAUGGGAUGUGAGGCCAAGUGAUGUCUGAUAUGGUGGGCAAGAUGUUCUGAAUAUCCCCUACUCAUACUGUGUUGUGAUUUCUGUUUAUCUGCCUAGCAUACUGAGCUGGGAGCUCCAAGAGAGUUGGACAGGAACACAAGUUCAGGACAAUGGAAUAUUGGAGAAGAUUCUGAGGAUUUAAAAGAGGGUGGAGUCACAAGGUAGAAGGAGUCUGGGUCCCUUGAUUGACUGCAUCAUCUGUCACUGACUCUCAAAAUUAUGAUGCAAACCAGGAUACAGAGACAUAUACAAGGAUGAAAACAGAUGCCAUGUGUGGAUUGUCUAUAAGCCAAGAACACCAGGGAACUAAGGAAUGCCUGAGGCUACCGACAAGAAAAGAGUCAACACAACUGAGACCCUGAUUUGGACUUUUAGCCUCCAGAACUGUGAGAAAAUAAAUUUCUGUUCUUUAAAGCCACCCAUUUGCGAUGAGCUAUUUUUGCUUCUGAAGCUGGCCAGCAGUAUUUACCCUUGGAGCGUUUGUUAUGAAGCGAUGUUUACUCUUAAAAUUGUGUGAAGGUUGUGUCGGAAAGAAGAUUUGAAACCAUGAAGUUGUACGGAGUCCUGCUCUAAUCUGAGACUGAGGAGGUGAAGAAUUUAUCUAGGAUAUGUCGUUAGAAACUUCAUGUGGCAAGAGAUUCUGGAAAAUGUAGUUCCCAGGCUUCUAACCCUUUAAUACAGGCAAGAACAUAGAAGAGGGGAAUUGCUACCAGACAGUCUAGCACAGCUACUGAUUUGGAUAAGGUAGUAAGGAAAGCCCUUUCAGAAGAGGUAUGUCCUAUAAUAACUCAGAUUCUGUUCACUUCUUUCUGCCCUGCUAUCGCUGUCGUCAUUCUUUGCUAUCAUCUUAUGAAAUAGCCUCUUUGCAGAUCCUCUCCUCCUUCAUUAUCGUACUCCUGAAAUCCGUUCCCUAAUUUGCACAAAGAGUGGUCUUUUAAAAAUGUAAACUAAAUCAUACUAUUAUAUUGGUCUUCAGGACCAAGUCCAGACUCCAUAGCAUGACACUGACAAACUGCAGCCUUACCUUCCUCUUCCACCUUACCUCUUCUAUACCCCGUUCUGAUUGCCUCAGUUCCGUGUGUCCUAAACUGCUUGACAAUUUCAGUGAGCCAUGCUUUCUCUCACCUCAUGUAUGUGAUUCCUUCUCUAUUCUCCAACUCAUUGCUUGACUAACUCUUGUCUUUUAAUAAUGUGGGAGUCAUUAUGGAUUAACUGUCCCAUAGCCAUUCACAACAUGCUUUGCUUUUCUUCUAAACCACUCCAUUUCUCCACCUUCUCACAG